rnacentral:rRNA from 1 species
GGGUAGUAAAAUUCAAACCUAAAGAAUUUGGCGGUUCUUAAACUUACUAGAGGAACCUGUCCUGUAAUCGAUAGUCCACGAUUUCAUUUACCUAUUUUAUUAUCAGCUUAUAUACCGCCGUUUAGUGAACUAAAUUAAUAGCUUCUCUUAACUAAUUAGUUAAAUAAAUCAGGNCAAGGUGUAGUUUAUGAAUAGGAAGAGAUGGGUUACAAUAAUAUUUUAUACGGAUAUUUUAUUCUAGAAUAAAAUUGAAAGUGGAUUUAGAAGUAAAAUUUUGAUAUUUUGAAGUGAGCUCUUGAGAAUGUACAUAU